GUGGGGAAUAUUGGGCAAUGGGCGCAAGCCUGACCCAGCAACGCCGCGUGAAGGAAGAAGGUCUUCGGAUUGUAAACUUUUGUCUUAUGGGACGAUAAUGACGGUACCAUAGGAGGAAGCCACGACUAACUACGUGCCAGCAGUCGCGGUAAUACGUAGGUGGCGAGCGUUAUCCGGAAUUAUUGGGUGUAAAGGGUGCGUAGGCGGGGAGUAAAGUCAGAUGUGAAAGGCGUGUGCUCAACAUACGGAUUGCAUUUGAAACUUACUUUCUUGAGUGAAGUAGAGGCAAGCGGAAUUCCCAGUGUAGCGGUGAAAUGCGUAGAUAUUGGGAGGAACACCAGUGGCGAAGGCGGCUUGCUGGGCUUUUACUGACGCUGAGGCACGAAAGUGUGGGGAGCAAACAGGA
rnacentral:rRNA from 1 species